ACCCAAACAAUAGACAUCAUCGGAAAUCAUAGGACAAUUGCGAAGAACAUGAUGGCGAGAAGAAAGCGGUGAUUACGCAACUCUUUGCCUCGUACCAAAUGUUCCAAACGAUGGGUGAAUGGAUCGAAUCACAGCUUGAUAAACAAGCAAUAAGUCUUUCAGCUAAAACGACUUGAGAGACAAAAGUAAGGCAAUUUGAAACCAAGUGUAGAAAUGUAGAAAUGGGGAACAAAACAAGGAAAAAGUUCGGAAAGAGCCCCCUGUGAGCAACUUAGAAACCACAGCUA
ensembl:ncRNA R11B5.5 ncRNA